GUUAAGCGACUAAGCGUACACGGUGGAUGCCCUGGCAGUCAGAGGCGAUGAAGGACGUGCUAAUCUGCGAAAAGCGCCGGCGAGGUGAUAUGAACCUUUGACCCGGCGAUGUCCGAAUGGGGAAACCCAGUGCAAUUCGUUGCACUAUCGUUAACUGAAUACAUAGGUUAACGAGGCGAACCGGGGGAACUGAAACAUCUAAGUACCCCGAGGAAAAGAAAUCAACCGAGAUUCCCCCAGUAGCGGCGAGCGAACGGGGAGGAGCCCAGAGUCUGAAUCAGCGUGUGUGUUAGUGGAAGCGUCUGGAAAGUCGCACGAUACAGGGUGAAAGUCCCGUACACGAAAGCACACAUGCUGUGAACUCGAAGAGUAGGGCGGGACACGUGGUAUCCUGUCUGAAUAUGGGGGGACCAUCCUCCAAGGCUAAAUACUCCUGACUGACCGAUAGUGAACCAGUACCGUGAGGGAAAGGCGAAAAGAACCCCGGCGAGGGGAGUGAAAAAGAACCUGAAACCGUGUACGUACAAGCAGUGGGAGCACCCUUCGGGGUGUGACUGCGUACCUUUUGUAUAAUGGGUCAGCGACUUAUAUUCUGUAGCAAGGUUAACCGAAUAGGGGAGCCGAAGGGAAACCGAGUCUUAACUGGGCGUUAAGUUGCAGGGUAUAGACCCGAAACCCGGUGAUCUAGCCAUGGGCAGGUUGAAGGUUGGGUAACACUAACUGGAGGACCGAACCGACUAAUGUUGAAAAAUUAGCGGAUGACCUGUGGCUGGGGUGAAAGGCCAAUCAAACCGGGAGAUAGCUGGUUCUCCCCGAAAGCUAUUUAGGUAGCGCCUCGUGAACUCAUCUUCGGGGGUAGAGCACUGUUUCGGCUAGGGGGUCAUCCCGACUUACCAACCCGAUGCAAACUGCGAAUACCGAAGAAUGUUAUCACGGGAGACACACGGCGGGUGCUAACGUCCGUCGUGAAGAGGGAAACAACCCAGACCGCCAGCUAAGGUCCCAAAGUCAUGGUUAAGUGGGAAACGAUGUGGGAAGGCCCAGACAGCCAGGAUGUUGGCUUAGAAGCAGCCAUCAUUUAAAGAAAGCGUAAUAGCUCACUGGUCGAGUCGGCCUGCGCGGAAGAUGUAACGGGGCUAAACCAUGCACCGAAGCUGCGGCAGCGGCGCUUAUGCGUUGUUGGGUAGGGGAGCGUUCUGUAAGCCGUUGAAGGUGUGCUGUGAGGCAUGCUGGAGGUAUCAGAAGUGCGAAUGCUGACAUAAGUAACGAUAAAGCGGGUGAAAAGCCCGCUCGCCGGAAGACCAAGGGUUCCUGUCCAACGUUAAUCGGGGCAGGGUGAGUCGACCCCUAAGGCGAGGCCGAAAGGCGUAGUCGAUGGGAAACAGGUUAAUAUUCCUGUACUUGGUGUUACUGCGAAGGGGGGACGGAGAAGGCUAUGUUAGCCGGGCGACGGUUGUCCCGGUUUAAGCAUGUAGGCGGAGGUUCCAGGUAAAUCCGGUACCUUUUAACGCUGAGGUGUGAUGACGAGGCACUACGGUGCUGAAGUAACAAAUGCCCUGCUUCCAGGAAAAGCCUCUAAGCUCCAGGUAACACGAAAUCGUACCCCAAACCGACACAGGUGGUCAGGUAGAGAAUACCAAGGCGCUUGAGAGAACUCGGGUGAAGGAACUAGGCAAAAUGGUGCCGUAACUUCGGGAGAAGGCACGCUGACAUGUAGGUGAAGCCCCUGCGGGUGGAGCUGAAGUCAGUCGAAGAUACCAGCUGGCUGCAACUGUUUAUUAAAAACACAGCACUGUGCAAACACGAAAGUGGACGUAUACGGUGUGACGCCUGCCCGGUGCCGGAAGGUUAAUUGAUGGGGUUAUCCUUAGGGAGAAGCUCUUGAUCGAAGCCCCGGUAAACGGCGGCCGUAACUAUAACGGUCCUAAGGUAGCGAAAUUCCUUGUCGGGUAAGUUCCGACCUGCACGAAUGGCGUAAUGAUGGCCAGGCUGUCUCCACCCGAGACUCAGUGAAAUUGAACUCGCUGUGAAGAUGCAGUGUACCCGCGGCAAGACGGAAAGACCCCGUGAACCUUUACUAUAGCUUGACACUGAACAUUGAGCCUUGAUGUGUAGGAUAGGUGGGAGGCUUUGAAGCGUGGACGCCAGUCUGCGUGGAGCCAACCUUGAAAUACCACCCUUUAAUGUUUGAUGUUCUAACCUGGCGCCGUAAUCCGGCGUGGGGACAGUGUCUGGUGGGUAGUUUGACUGGGGCGGUCUCCUCCUAAAGAGUAACGGAGGAGCACGAAGGUUGGCUAAUCCUGGUCGGACAUCAGGAGGUUAGUGCAAUGGCAUAAGCCAGCUUGACUGCGAGCGUGACGGCGCGAGCAGGUGCGAAAGCAGGUCAUAGUGAUCCGGUGGUUCUGAAUGGAAGGGCCAUCGCUCAACGGAUAAAAGGUACUCCGGGGAUAACAGGCUGAUACCGCCCAAGAGUUCAUAUCGACGGCGGUGUUUGGCACCUCGAUGUCGGCUCAUCACAUCCUGGGGCUGAAGUAGGUCCCAAGGGUAUGGCUGUUCGCCAUUUAAAGUGGUACGCGAGCUGGGUUUAGAACGUCGUGAGACAGUUCGGUCCCUAUCUGCCGUGGGCGCUGGAGAAUUGAGGGGGGCUGCUCCUAGUACGAGAGGACCGGAGUGGACGCAUCACUGGUGUUCGGGUUGUCAUGCCAAUGGCAUUGCCCGGUAGCUACAUGCGGAAGAGAUAAGUGCUGAAAGCAUCUAAGCACGAAACUUGCCCCGAGAUGAGUUCUCCCUGAGACCCAGAGUCUCCUGAAGGAACGUUAAAGACUAUGACGUUGAUAGGCCGGGUGUGUAAGCGCAGCGAUGCGUUGAGCUAACCGGUACUAAUGAACCGUGAGGCUUAACC
rnacentral:rRNA from 1 species